GACGAACGCUGGCGGCGUGCUUAACACAUGCAAGUCGAACGAGUGGCGGACGGGUGAGUAAUACGUGGGUAACCUUCCCUCUUUUUUGGAUAAGCCUUGGAAACGGGGUCUACUCCCGAAUAAGGGGGGAUGGGCUCUCGGCCUCUCAGCUUGUUGGUGGGGUGAUGGCCUACCAAGCCGGUGACGGGUAGCCGGCCUGAGAGGGGGACCGGCCACACUGGGACUGAGACACGGCCCAGACUCCUACGGGAGGCAGCAGUGGGGGAUAUUGCACAAUGGGCGCAAGCCUGAUACAGCCAUGCCGCGUGUAUGAAGAAGGCCUUCGGGUUGUAAAGUACUUUCGGCGGGGAGGCGUUACCCGCAGAAGAAGCACCGGCUAACUCCGUGCCAGCAGCCGCGGUAAUAC
rnacentral:rRNA from 1 species